UAAUUAAUCGGUUCCUUACCCAACCCUGUAUUCCGGCAAUUAGUCUCCAAUGUAACAAUAAUUAUUUUAUUAUUGUUACAUUUCCAUGUAACCGUAUCCAGUGCCUUUUAUAUAACAAUACUGACAUACCAGCCAGUAUUGUGAUCGCCAAGGUGAUCAUGUAUAUAAUUCCUUACAAUGUCACACACAACCAUGAGUGUAACUGCUUAGCAGUUGCUUGUGUUGACUUGUCUGGUAAUUGUUCAGACAAGAGUUUAUGUAUCUUAAAAGCCUACAGAGCUGGUUGUCAGAAAUUAUGCGGCUGUCCGGACAAGACACAAGACAAGACACAAGACAAGACACCAGACACAGACACAGAAGCAAGCCUGAAGCAGAGAAGAGGAUUUUGUAAUAUCAGCUACGAUUGUAGUUGCAGAAGCGGACAGGUCGCUGUUUGCGUACACCAUGUUUGUAUAUGUGAAGAUCCAGUUGGAAAAUAGAAAAAGUAAAGAGAUUUCAAAAGCUACAUUUGGACAUGUAAAGUAUAUUCUUGAAAUAAAGUACACCGAAUUAUAUCAUGUUAUGCCCAACUGUGAUGAAAUGAAUUUGCUUAGUUUAGUGA